AACCCGACCACACGCGAGAUCGAGCUAUGCAGUCCACAACGAAAAGCUACACGUUAGCCCGAUACUAAUAAUAGUGUUACCGACGGCUAGCUGAAAGCGAGGAACCGGCAACCAGAGUAACAGAGUGCGUUCACCGACGAUCCUGUUGAACGACGGUCGUCGGUUGAGAACUGGGUUACAUCGCUCGCGAGUUUAUUUACUACGAAUCGCUACGAAUGUCGAUACGAACGAAUGCGUGCAAAUUCUCUCCAUCGAAACGUACACCGUUUUAUUUUUCCACGUUCGCGUUAACAUCGAUCGAACGGAAAUAUUAUCGACGUGCUAAGUUUUAGCACGGAAAUGAUAAAUUACUCAAGAAUCGCGCUUUAUUGCACUGCACACACUGGUUACAGCAUAACGUCAAUACUCGCGGCUCCGUAAGUUUCUAAAUCGAUCGAUAUUCGCGAAGCAGUUGUUAUCGAUCUAAGAAAAUGUCACGGUCAGCGAAGGCAACCAGUAGAUAAUCGAACACGUAUGUCAAAUAUUUCCUGCAACUUUAUGACUGUGCCGACAGGAGGAAACGUGUCGAGAAUCGAAAUCAACGCGUGUACUACACGCUGAUGACGGGCAAAGGCCAGGCCCCGAGCAUAACUUUAUUCCAUUAGGCCUUAAUUCGUGCCAAUUCGAACCGCCUACCCGGUCGUUAUCUCUUGCCACGCGAGACGAAGCAACUGUGUUAAUUAGGAGCACAUUCGUUUAGAUUUUUACCCAUCUAACGAAAUCACGGCAAAUUCUGGAAAUCUCACCGACAAUACAAUGGAAAAGAAGAGGAAGAACGAGAACAGCAACAACAAGAACGAGAAACAGAGAAAGAGGAAGAAAAGAUUGUUCACACAGAUUUAAGUAACGUUUCGAUUCGCUUAUUCGAAAUCGGAUUCCCAUAAAUGUCAUCUUUUUUCCGAUCAGCGAAAUCAGCAUCGAGAUGAAAAAUGCCUGAGACGCUUUCUACAAGCAGAGGGACUUUCUAAAAGGCCGCCGCGUUUAGAGUUAUAAAUUGCGACGCAGUUGCUCGCCGGAUGUCGUCAUUAAUUCAAAUGAAAGAACAAAAAAAAAAGAAGAAAAUGGAUGAGAAGAUAAAAAAAAGUGUUGCGGUUCUGCAUAAUUCCACUAGCCGGCAAGCAAAGUUGCGGACAGCGUUUGGCAACGUCGGGGCCUGCAAUUUACUCGAUCCACUGUGCACGACUACGUAAGUGACAAGCACACGUGACGCGUGUUAUGAUCCCGUAGCCACAUAAUUCCGGGCUCGUCGUAUAAUUUGAAUAGAAUUAAUUAUCGCACCUGCGAGAACUCCAACGUGCGCCGAACGACGUGCGAUCGUCUACAUCCGCGCGUUUGUACUCAGCGUGUGCUUACACGUAACAGGUUUGAUAAGAUUAUAGGCGAAGGUCAUCGCACCUGAACACAUAUGAAACACGGAGAAAUACGCACUCAUUUUGUCAGAAUCACAAUUUUGUACAAACGUCGUCGCGCAACGAUGGAAAGUCGUAAAGAACGCGAUCGAAAUACAUGAGCAUAUGACCGUUACUUAGCGCAUCCUCGCUUGCGUAACCAUCGAUUCGCUGAACACCGAAUUCAACACGCGAACGAAACCACCACAACAAAACGAUCUCCAACCGAUUUGCAUAGCGUUUAAUCUAUCCGUACGAAGUACAAACGAUAAAAGCGAGAACAUAGAGAGUCACGUGAAAAGAGAGGCUCGGACUCACGAUCGCUUCAACGUUCCUCUUCACAGCUCUUUGACCGCUUCAUAAUUUGAUUCAACGCCACUUUCCCUGGUCGUGCAAAAACACCUCAGCCGAAUAGUCCUCGCUAGAGGACUAUUAAUAAAACCAACUUUCCGUACGAUUGUGAGUCACGGGACGAGGAGGAUUCACCCCGUUCCAGUAAAUCGCAAAUGAGACGCAUUUGCGAUGCGAAUUGUAUUGCUGUGCGUACGCAGGACGUUAAAACGGGGUCCAGUCGCAGGAUGAAUUCUGUCCAACGACCGAAAUUUUCCUCCCGCGGGAAACUUCUCCAACUGCGAAACAGAGGUGACCGGAUCGAUAGCGACCAACACGAUCGCGAUGCGUCCGCCGCGUGUACGACAAUGAAACGUUCCGGAUUCGCUCGAUGAUCCUCUGGUACUACCUAUGCCACCACUGCGAGCAUCCGCACACCGAUACACAACCACGAUGCACAUAGCCGUACAACUGAACAGAUAGAUAUAUGUACCUACUACACGCCUGCCCUCCUCAUAUACACCUUCACCGAGCGGACAACGCGGACUGACACUCCGCAACAACGAUCACUAUUCUUCAGAAACACACGGUUUCUGCAUUCACCGGCCCGUGAAUCCGUAUACGAGCGCGCACGGUGCCGACGUACACGAGGACUGUACAGUGAACGUCAUCAACCGAAGAACAAGGCUACGUUUAACUUGCGAGCUUGACUCCACGUUUUUCUAUCGUACGGCCGUAAUUAACGACAUACGCUCUUGUGAAAUUUCGCUCGGUAUUGAACUUUACUCCGUUCGUUGAUAAGUACAACGCAGGUGUAAAAAGAAAAUGAGAAUUCAUGCUUGUAACGAGAUAGUUGUUCAAAAUAAAUCUA